CCCUCGACUUCCCCCCGCGGUCUCUCUUUCUUUGCCCGUUCUUUUCUUCCUCCUUCACAGGACUACGCGGCGAAUCUCUGGCGAGUCACGGCCCCAUCGUCUUCCUCUGGUUUCUCCGGUGUCCCUCCACCCGCCAUCCUCCACGUCCGGCGCCACUGCCUGCUCUCUUCCGUUUUCCCGGCACCGCUGUGCUCGGCCCGCCCAUAGAUUCUUUAGAUUUUCUCUUCCUCUUUCCUUCCGUUUUGACCAGAUCGAGGGAAAUCAAGAAUCCUCUAGAUUUAUUCAGAUCAAUUUCACCGUUCUCCAUCUCCUUCGUCUUCUCGCUGCCCGAGCUCCUUUCUAGCCGAUUCAUAUCUAGAUCCUGUGCCCGUACCGCCUCCUAUGGUCACCGGGUAAGGGUACUGUAGAGGUCUGGGUUCCUUGACUCAGCAACUUGCUCUUAUGAGGCACAGAGGCGGCGACGCGGAAUGUGUCAUUGCCGGCGACGGGGUGCGAUUGGGGGCAACAUGCGGAGGGGUGGAGUCCUUGGAGGGGACGAGGUCGAGUGGCUGAGCUUGGUCCCCGCGUUUGCCUCCAGCGAGAAGAGUAUUGUGGGUGGCACAGCGGCGGGGAGAACCUGCUGCGGGUUCUAGACGUGUGUGUGCCUUUUCACGCCUCCCGUCGGUUUUCCUUGCCCUCCACCUUGCCGCGGCGGUCGCCUGUCGUCGUCUUCUGGUGGCUGUGGAGUAUAGAGGAUCCUGCUUCCUUAGAGCUGUUCGCUGAGACGACCACCUCCUGGUGAAUCCGGAGGAGCAGAUGCCGCGCGCCUGGACCGUGCUUGACGCGGACCGGAUGGGGGUCGCCCCGUGGCAGGCUGGCAGCGCCGACGUAUACUUCCGCUACCUGCCUGGAAAUCGAAGCGGAACCCCAAGUGCGUCGAUCAGACGCCAAAUCCAUGGAGGAAAUGGAGCAGAGGCGGCCCCACUUUGUCGAAAUUCUCAGGCAAGCCUCCAUCCAGUACGACGACCCCCAUCCUCAGUUAGCGUGGACACGCCCGCUCCGUAUCCUAGCCAAGGCGGCUGGUGCAGGCACAGAAGGGGUCGACAGGUUGUUGCGGUGGUGUAGUGCCGCUGCGACCAAGGAUGUUGGCGGUCAAAGGUGACAGUGUGGAGGGGCUCGAGCUUGCGGGACGGUGCGCCGCCAAGGUGGUGUUGAGCACUUUAAAACAAUUUUCAAUCGAAUCAGCCACCUCCGUCGCCUUGCAAAUUUCCGUAGGCUCAAACACUUUUCGGAGCACUUCAUGUCUUACAGACAUUUAGCCAAUUGUGUUACUUUUAUUUCACAUCAAGGCUUGAAAUCAUUCGGCUAUGUGGAUGAUUACUGAUAGGCCUAAAUUUCCUGACCGGGUUCUUCUCAUAGAUGAUUUUGUAUUAGAACAAUAUGAAACAGAGAUUACAACUGAAUCAACCUCAUUUUCCGUUUCACUUGCAAGACACCUACACACUGUUAUGUGGUUCUGAGAUGUAUGGAGCGUUUUGGUGUUCUCAUUACAAUGAGCAAAAACUGACCAAAAAGUGCUAAAUAUGCAAGUCUUGACGCUAAAAGAUUUAUCAUCCCAAGAUUCAACUGGAAGGUUCUUGUGUGUGCUGCUCGAAUAUGAAAGUGUAGGCAUCAGAAAAACAAAGCAGAACUUAUAUGGCUAGAGUUUAUUGUCGAUGAGGCUGAAGAUCAAAGAAGAAGCACAUAUCAGGCGUGCCACCAAGGAGUAGGUUAUCCCCAACACGGUUGGCAAAGGCAUGGAAAUUAGCCUCCUUUUCUCUGACAAACAAGAGGUGACUUUGGUAAAUACUGAUUGCCCUCCAAGUAGAAAUAAUAAGGUUUUCCAAAAAUUGUGUUCUAUGUUUUUACGUCCCAGUUACCAAGUGUAAUGUGCAUACGAUGGCUUCCAGGGAUUGCAUAGUCAGUUUUUAUCUUUGAUGGUGUAAUAAAAGUUGUGACGAGAUCCCAUACAUGUACCACAUGCAUCAACAUUGUUGCCUUUUCUUUUUGCGAAUUCAUCUACAUUGUUGCUUGAUAGAUGAUUUAUCUGACAACUUGGACAUAAAUAAUGCUGCGAUGAACGAGCAUUCAAUCAAAAGUAUGCGUCCACUCUAAAAAUACCACUUAUUAUUCUUUAACUCACAGGCACAUGUUGGGCGCGGCGUGCCGCCGUGCCAGUAGUUUGCUAGCUACUAUAUUAAAGGUGAACAAACUUCUUUUUUCUUAGAAUUUUGAGGUCUGCUAUGAAUUAAACCUGUGUAAACUUUUGGUGCUCUCUAGGAUUUUUAGAGUGUGGGAAACACGUAGGCAGUUAUUUUUCCCUUCCUUCGAGGGGUGGCUGUAGCAGUGUUACAAAUGGUCAAAGCGGUGGUACCGCUUAACUGCAUCGGUUCUUGAUGCUCUCUCUUUCUUACCUCCGCUCUGACUUUACUUCACAACGUUAGAGGAUCCAGUUCCCUCCGCCCUGUCCUCUUCUCUUCUUCCUCCUCCGUCAAGGCACUGCCCUGUCGCCUUCCUCCAGUUCCUCCAAUUUCCCUCUACCUCCACCCUCUUCUAUCAAAAAAAAUCAACGGUCGCAGGCUGCAGCGACGAUGCGGCGCGUGCAGAGGUCGUGUCAGCCAUCAUCGACGAGGAGGAGGAUCGCGGGUACGACGCAUCGCUGAUGACGGCGGCGGCGGGCGACGGGCACCGCGACGCGCUCUACUCGCUCGCCGUCAUCCAGUUCAACGGCAGAGGCUGCUCCAAGAACGACCGUGACCUCCACGCGGACGUCGCGCGCCGCCUCGCUCGGCCACGUCGACGCGCUCCGCGAGUGGGCACUGCCUGCAGGAUGGCUAUGGCGUGCGCUGCUCGCUGCUCGACAGGCGCCGCCUCCUCAUCCAGGCCAACGCCAGGGGCUCGCGGCCGCGUCGGCCUCGCUCUUCAAGGCCUCUCGCGGGCGCCACUCGUGCCUGCUCAGCGACUUCUGAUGCCGCGCCGCCGCCGCCCGCGCACGCCACCAACCGGUUCCUGUCUAAGUGGUUCGCGUCAUGGCUGCUGGGCGCGGAGAGCGGCCUUGACCCCGCGCCGAUGGAGGAGGAGGACGGCGGCUCCGGCGGGGGCCUAAGCCGCGCGGCGCCUCACCACGGGAGGCCGCCAUCAGCGUUGGAUUUGGACUGCAGACGGCAGCUCCCUGAGGUCGCCGAUCUGGGCAUGGUGUUGCGUGUCGACCCUGUGCCUGCAAGCGGCACAACUGCUGGUGGAUGGAGGUCACGCAGCAGCGCUCCCAAAUUGCUCGAGCUGUUCUCUCCCACAGGGCUGCCAAAUUGGGCAAAAUUCACCUGGAGCAGGUGGCGCCAAGGCUAGGGCGCAGGCCGCAUGGAGCCAAGCAGCCAACGCAAGGUUCAGCUGAGCUAUCCUCAAGGCCAGACAAUCACAGCUUCGCCGUUCUUGUGGUGCAUCCUAGAUAUGUCUCAUAUAGAUACAUGUGCCUCUGGAAUUGUGACCCAAGCAGGAGAUAGCCAGUGAUACUGCCAAACUGAUCUACAUGUUAUGCCAACCAUUUUGUUGCAUAAUUUUACUAUUUCAAUGCUGGGAUUACAAACGCGUCAUUCAGCGAACUUCUCUUGAGACAUCUGACUUUCUUAAAGAUGAUUGCUUGAAGAUAUAAUGCACUCUAGGAUUUUUGUGUCAACUAUUGAAUAUUGAUUACUCCAUGCCACAGUCCAUUCAGGUCCCAUACUUCAACAUUUCCUACCGCAAAUCCAAGGAUCAAUGCGAUAUGCGGAAGAAAAGAAUCAUGCAUCAGUUUCAGAGCUUGGUACUAAGCACCAAGAGAAUUUAGAGAGCUUGGAAGCACAUCUAGCUAGCUGAGGUUUCCACGGAGAGAGCAAAGGCAUCUGAAAUGAUUCAGUCACCGCGGGUAUUAAUUCCAGUGGGAGAUUGGAAGAAUAAUCGUGCAGAUUUCCCUGCUGAAAGAUUUCUGGCCUCGAGGAUACCAAUGUGUUGCUUGCAUCUAGGAAUACAGGGUUCAAACAACUCGACAACAGCCAUAUGAGGUAGACAUUAUUGUCGACAACCAAGAGGUAUCUUCUGAAAACUUGACACUUGGCUUGCUUAUUGUCAAAAACAAUAUGUAACCAUUUACAUCUACACUUAGUUAUUUGUCACAAUUCAGCUUCAUGCAUCCUACUUUCUGUACCAUGCUAUCAUAAUAAAAUCAGCUAACUUUGUCCUGAUUUUCUUAUAGCCAUGCAACCCUCUAUUCAUGUCCGAACAUAGACCAAGUUAAUAACAUGAUUUGCCUUCACACUGCACUUCCGAAUUGUAUUUCUACAUUGUUUCUAGAUACCCUACUUCCAUGAAAGGGUUGCAGCCUUGAUUUGAAUAGAAGAGCUCAUGUCGAAGACCAAAGAAAAAAGGACAUAUCAGGCAUCCACAGAGGAGUCGAUCCAGCUGAAACUUAGAUAUCGAAACCAUACAAGCCAUCUGCCUAUCAGAAGGAAAGAGACACAGAAGGAAGGAGGGCGUCUUCUCCACUAGAUAGAUGUCAGCUUCCCAAACGGUGCCAAAGCCAAGCCUUCCACAAGGAGCUCACCCGUGGUGCUGUUCCUUACCAUAAUUGGCGAAUGCAUGAAAAUCAUCGUCUUAUCCCCUGAUUGCAAGGACAACUUCGACAAGUACCGAUGGUUUUACAAGUUGAAAGAAUCAAAUAAUUGUCUUGGCAUGGUGUUCUAAUUAAUGUGUUUUUAGGCUAUGGUUAUUAUCAAAUGUGUGUCCUGUUUUA